rnacentral:rRNA from 1 species
CCUUUUGCAUCAUGAUUUAGCAAGAACAACCAGACAAAGAGCCCUUUAGCCUGACUUCCCGAAACUAAACGACCUACUUCGGAGCAGCACACUAGAGCCAACCCACCUCUGUGGCAAAAGAGGGGGAAGACUCCCAAGUAGCGGUGACAAACCUACCGAGUUUAGUGAUGGCUGGUUAUCCAAAAGAAGAACUUAAAUUCUGCAUUAAUUCUUCAAGCAAGCAAUAAAAAACUUUUAACACAAGCCUUUUUGUAAAAAUUAAUAGUUAUUCAAAAAAGGUACAGCUUUUUUGAACCAAGAAACAACUUUAUUAGGAGGGUAAUGAUCAUAUCCCAAAAAGGAAUCUCCUCAGUGGGCCUAAAAGCAGCCACCU